rnacentral:misc_RNA from 1 species
CCGAGUUUACAACUCCCAAACCCAUGUGAACAUACCUAUCGUUGCUUCGGCGGGCCGCCCUCGGGCGCCCGUCGGGGACCCCAAACUCUUGUUUUUACAACUGAAAUUCUGAGUGGCCGCAAGGCAAAACAAUAAAUUA